UGGCUAGACUCCUAAAUAUAUACAUAUAUGAGAAAAUAUAUGUAAUAAACCCUUAUUUUCUCAUAUAUGUAUAUAUUUAGGAGUCUAGCCAGUUCAUUC